CGGGGUGCAGCAGGCGCGAAAACUUUACAAUGCGGGAAACCGUGAUAAGGGGACACCGAGUGCCAGCAUCAUAUGCUGGCUGUCCAGGUGUGUAAAAUACACCUGUCAGCAAGGGCCGGGCAAGACCGGUGCCAGCCGCUGCGGUAACACCGGCGGCCCGAGUGGUGAUCGUGAUUAUUGGGUCUAAAGGGUCCGUAGCCGGUUUGGUCAGUCCUCCGGGAAAUCUGACGGCUCAACCGUUAGGCUUUCGGGGGAUACUGCCAGGCUUGGAACCGGGAGAGGUAAGAGGUACUACAGGGGCAGGAGUGAAAUCUUGUAAUCCCUGUGAGACCACCUGUGGCGAAGGCGUCUUACCAGAACGGGUUCGACGGUGAGGGACGAAAGCUGGGGGCACGAACCGGAUUAGAUACCCGGGUAGUCCCAGCCGUAAACGAUGCUCGCUAGGUGUCAGGCAUGGCGCGACCGUGUCUGGUGCCGCAGGGAAGCCGUGAAGCGAGCCACCUGGGAAGUACGGCCGCAAGGCUGAAACUUAAAGGAAUUGGCGGGGGAGCAC
rnacentral:rRNA from 1 species